rnacentral:rRNA from 1 species
UACGGAGGGUGCGAGCGUUGUUCGGAAUUACUGGGCGUAAAGCGCGUGCAGGCGGCCGACUAAGUCAGGUGUGAAAGCCCGGGGCUCACCUCCGGAAGUGCGCUUGAAACUGGUCGGCUAGAGUACGGGAGAGGGAAGCGGAAUUCCUGGUGUAGCGGUGAAAUGCGUAGAUAUCUGGAGGAACACCGGUGGCGAAGGCGGCAUCCUGGACCGAGAUCGACGCUGAGGCGCGAAAGCUAGGGGAGCAAACGGG